UAGUUUACAAAUAAGGUAUUAAUUAUGUAACUUAGGAUCAAGUCAUUACUAAAAUUAUCAAAUAUUGCAGGAUAAGUUUGACUUGCAAGGAGAUCCAAUCGAUGUUGAAAAGGCAGUGGCAACACAAUGUGGACGGAGGUUGAGCAAUCACAACUUCGUUUUGCACAAAAAGUACAAGAAACUUAAAGAAACAAGGGGGGAAGAGUAUGCUAGAAACAACCCACCAGCUGGUGUCAAUCCAGAGCAGUGGACGAGCUUAGUCACUAAGAAGUGGACAGUUCCAAAAUGGCUGGAGCGAUCAGAAAAAAACACCUCAAACAGGUCUUGGUCUAAGACAAAACAUAGAUGUGGAUCAAAGUCACUCCCAGUUAGGGUUGCCGCUGCGGAUAAGAUGGUACAAAUAGAGACUGAACAUAAUGCGCAGGAAGGUGCAAUCCCGAUUACGCAAGAGGAGCUCUCCGUUAAAGGACUCAAGGCAAAGUCAGGCUAUGUGAAGGGACUUGGCAUUAGGCCUUCCUCCUCUA